rnacentral:rRNA from 1 species
CAGUAGCCGCGGGAAAACGGAGGGUGCAAGCGUUAAUCGGAAUUACUGGGCGUAAAGCGCACGCAGGCGGUUUGUUAAGUCAGAUGUGAAAUCCCCGAGCUUAACUUGGGAACUGCAUUUGAAACUGGCAAGCUAGAGUCUUGUAGAGGGGGGUAGAAUUCCAGGUGUAGCGGUGAAAUGCGUAGAGAUCUGGAGGAAUACCGGUGGCGAAGGCGGCCCCCUGGACAAAGACUGACGCUCAGGUGCGAAAGCGUGGGGAGCAAACAGGAUUAGAUACCCCAGUAGUCCCUGUCUCUUAUAC